UUUUGGUGCGUCUGAAGACAGCUACAGAUUACUUGGAUACGAUAAUAAAUAAAUCUUAAAAAAAAAAAAAAAAGAUAGUAAAUACCAACAGCACACUUGGCAGACACACAGGACCAUCCUAACAAUUGGGGUGUUUUUAGGCAGGGUUCUGUGUCUCUCUUUCUGUCUCCCAGCCACCCACACUGGCCUCCUGUGCUCCCAGCCUCUGCCCAGAUCAGGCCAGGCUUCUACUCCUGCCUAGAUAUCUGUAAUGAUCGCCACUCCUGGGAGUCACAGAACUACUUCUUUUCAAACUACGCUUCUUGUUCAAGGUUGCAGUGGGAAGCAUGCACAAAGCCCUGUUAAGAGUUUCAGUGCCGAGAUGGGCCCUGAUUUUUGUUUCUUUCUUCGUUUUAUUUUGCUUUUGUGUCUGAGACAGGGUCUCCACACUGGAGCCGAGACUAGCCUGGAACUCACUUUGUGGCCCAGGCUAACCCAAAGAAAAUUUCUGCCUCCGUUUCCCAGAGUUAGGGGUACUGGCAUGCAUGCCCACCUAUGAGGUGGUUAUCAUUGUGGUUAGUGUGUGGUUUAGAUGCUCAGCCUCAGGACAUUCUGGUGGGCAGACUGAGGAAUUAUAUACCCAAGGAUCCUGCGGUGUCUCUGGGUUAUCAUAACAACUGGCAGGGGAAAACUCUUCAUUUAAGGGAACAGCACACACCUGUUCAGAGGUCUAAACUCAGCUAGGAUGAACUCAUCCUGAAGAUGUAGGUUUUUGAGGGGUGGAGCUAGCCAGGAUGCUUCUGCAUUUUUACUUUGGCCUGAGAGCCUUGGGUCCUAACUAGGUCUGGACCUUAUUCUUCUUUCCAGACAGGAGGAAUCUGUGUCUAGAGGGAUGUCCUGGUUAGUGAGAGCCAUGCUCCAGUGUGGAGCAGAGCUGAACUGUCUAAAAUGACAACAGGCUUCCAUUGAGAUCACUAGAUGAUCCGGACCAGCUGAGUGCCCAGGCCUUCCUCAGACACUCAGAGGACAAGGGAUGAGCAGCCACAGCCCCACAACUCAGGAUGUUUUCUGCUGAGACACUGUGGCCCACAAGAGAACCAGGGCAUAUGGCAGGAGCUGCAGGGUAUAGAUUCUAGGCAUUAUCUGGGGCUCAGGCAACUUUGGAAGACCAGAGUGUUCAAGAAAGGUGGCAUUACUGCUCUCAAGUUCAACAAGCUGAUUUAGGCAGGGAAGGACAAGAAAGCAACUAUACUCGGAGUAAACAGUCUGCGAGAGGCACAAAGUG
rnacentral:lncRNA from 1 species